GCACGACGUGGGACUCGAUCCCAGGACCCAGGGUCACACCCUGGGCUGCAGGCAGGCUGUUUGAGAAGCUGAGCUCCGGUCUACCGAAGGCAGAGAGGAGCCCCCGUCCUCCAGGCAGUUUCCGGACAAGCUCGAGCCGGCGGGGAAUACUCCUCACCUGCUCCCCCACCUCUGGCCAGGACUACAUCUUCAAUUUGUCUGUGCCUCAGCCUCCGAGCCUGAUGAGUGGAGACAACUGUGAGCUCAUCAAUCCAAUGAAUUUACACAGAACAGCAAUUUGCCGAUGGGAAAGUGCCUGGCCAGAUCCUCUUCUGUAGGCAGAUGUUCGCUGGCACGUCUGUGGGCAGGUCGCUCUACAGCAUAGAGAAUAAAGCGAAAGGCUGGGAACAGAAAGCAAGCCCAAGAACUCGUCCUGUGUCUGCGAUGAAGGCAAAACCCGUGAAAAAUAAAGCUUUUUGCAGAGAUAGUUCCAUAUGUGACCCUAAGCACAUUGAUGGCAACACAGGCCAGCGGGUAUGCGUGUACCGGCCUGCGUGUGGGCGUGCACAUGUGUGCAUGAGAACACAAUGUUCAGUGAGCGCAUUCGCACUGGAAAGACAAAAAGGGAAGCAAUCCCAGCUGCUGCCUUGUGUGCUUCCUAUAGGAUGGCGUCGUGGGUGGGUUGUUCUGGAUCUGGAUUCGUGUCAGCCUCAACAAUAUUCCACCACACAGCCUUGGUUGACGCACAUCCCGCGUGUUGGGCAACGUUAGUCCUGGAAAGAGACGAGGGCGGCCUUUGGUUGGGAAAUGAGGCCCCUUGCAAGUGCUCUGUGCCGCGGAAGCGUGAGCUCGCGCCCUGUGACCGCACAAAGACAUCCCGGGCCUCCUGUCACCCACCCCCUCGCUUCCCAGAUGAUCAAAUAGAGAUUUAGGGAGUCGAGGUAAGUUUUCUCAAGGUCGCACAGAGAACCAGUGGCCCGGAAAGGCUCGGAAAGCCGCCUCCUAAGUUCUGGUAAACCCAUCGGGCCUUCCUUUGCAGCGGUAACGAGGGAUUGAAAAUGGGAAACUGUCCAGGAAAUUCUCAAAAAUCCCAAAAUCAUAGACAAGGGCCUUUGAAACAGAAAAAUCCAAACGAGUCGUGGGACUCUGCUGUUAGCAUCAGAAGCCACGAGGGCGCUGCUUUUUCAUAUGAACAGCUGAGAGGAAUGACAAGGCGACCUUGUCCUCGGCCACGCCCACUGAAUGCACCUGACCUCUGUCGCCUUGGUGCACCAGUGUCCAGGCACUCUCCGUUUGGGAGGGACACAGCUCCAAUAUGCGGGUGAGCAGACGAGCGGAUCUCAGAGGGCCAGGACCCCCCUUCCCGUGUCUCAGCAGCUAGAGCAGGACACCGGCCCCGCGGCCUUGGCGCAGUGGAUGCUCCUGCCUGGGACUUCGCACCUGGACACAGCGGUGCUCAGACGAGGUGACGUUCACGGAGUGGCAGCCUCCUGGGGGGCUGCCGGGGGCUACUGGGGGAGCCCCCGUGGGAUUUUGAAACCCCACCCCCACGGGACGCCAUGAGGAGGUGCAGCCUUUGGGAGGCGAGUGGGACGAGAUAGGGUCAUGGGGAUGGGGCCCUGGGCUAGGGCUAGUGCUGUUAGCAGAGUCGCAAGGAAGCUUGCUUCCUCUGUGCUCUCUGUCCUGCAAGGCCGCGGCGCGGAGGAGGGCUUUCCACAGAACCCUACCGUGUGGGCGCCCUGACCCUCGACCUCCAAGCUCCGGGCCCGAGAGGUUGAUAAGCCACCCGGUCUGUGACACUCUGGUCCCAAGAGCCGCUGUUCCCGUCCCCCUGCCGCUGGAGGAGUGGAGGGUAGUUUGCAGGGGUGUAGCCACGGGAGAGGGACGGAUGGACGUGUUGCUGUUGGUUUGGGCUGGCCUGUUCACGUAGCUGAAAAUGAGACUUUUCCUCUAUCUGAAUGUGCCCAGUCAAUGCACAGGAGUCUCUUAGGUCGCGGGGUCGGGGAAGGGAGCCCCUUCUCGCUGGCCCCCUGAGAGGCAGGUGACUUCAGGGGAAGUCGCGGUGCAAGACAGCAGCCCCGCAGGGCACCACAGCCGUGCCCUUCCCUUGUAAACCUAGGGGCACCGUGGCUUUACCUGGCUCUUUCCCCUGUAGUCGCAGGGCUUGGGGAGGACAUGAGUAGAGGUUCCCGUGUCACAGGUCUAAACGUAGAAAUUGAGCUAACAGAUUGUAACAUAAACUGGGCUCUAGUCUUCUAUCUGGGUGAGCAUCCCUUCGGAAAGACCUAGAAAGCUGGAUUCACUCGAUUCUCAGGAUCCCAGAGGUUCUGGUAGGGGGAGUGGGUCCACCCACCCACAGCUGCGUCCCCCCUUCCACCGCCACCGCCACUGGCUGCUCCACCCCAAAGGCUGAGAGGUCUCUUUUGUGAACGCCCCAGUCUGGAGGGGUUAAUUCUGUCCAUCCUCCCCAGCAAACAACCACCCCUGGAGGGACUCCGGCAGCACCCGGCCCUCACUGAGUCCUGGGGAGGGGUGCCCGGGUGGCUCAGUGGUCAGGCACCUGCCUUCGGCUCAGGUCAUGAUCCCAGGGUCCUGGGAUCGAGUCCCUGCAUGGGGCUCACUGGGAACCUGCUUGUCCCUCUCCCUACUGCUUGUGCUCUCUCCCUCAUUCUCUCUCUCUCAAAUAAUAGAAUCUUUAAAAAAAGAAAGACAGAAAGAAAGUUCUGGGGAGAGGUGCACUCGGGCCUGGAAGCAGGCUUGCGGCCAUUCAGGCUGUGAGUGGAGGGUCCCAGGUGCUCUGAGCAUGCUCCGCCUAGAAGGGGCGCAGGCUCCUUAGAUUCUGGACCCACGGGGGCCCCUGAACACCUGCUCGCCAGGCCAAAGGACUGUCCUGACAACCCUUCUCACCUCCUCAAGCCCCAUUUCUAGGCUCUGGCUCUGAAAUCAUGACUCUCUUCCUGGUGCGUGGGACGUGCUGGCGUCCUCUGUCGCCUCCGGCCCCAGGGUGGUCCCCGUUGUGCCCGGUGGGGGCGGGGGCCCGAGCGAGGUGGGCUGUCAGUGGGCAGCGUCUGGACAGGGGCCCAGCCACGCAGCAUCAGAGUUGUGCAGCCGGAUGCUCUCCUGGAAUAGCUUUCCACGCCGGCAGCCCGGGAAAUGGCCAGCUCCGCCUUCUGAUUUAAGAGGCUGUCCUUGUCCGGUGCUUCUCCCAGCUUCCCUGUGGGAGCUGGUGACCGCUGAGCCCCUGAGCCCCGGCCUCAGAUAAUCACUGGGAUAAGUGACGUGUGCUGACCCCUCCCUCCCUCUCCCCCUCC